UACGUAGGUGGCAAGCGUUGUCCGGAUUUACUGGGCGUAAAGAGCGCGCAGGCGGUCGUUCAAGUCGCGUGUGAAAGCCCCCGGCUCAACUGGGGAGGGUCACGCGAUACUGAUCGACUCGAAGGCAGGAGAGGGUAGUGGAAUUCCCGGUGUAGUGGUGAAAUGCGUAGAUAUCAGGAGGAACACCGGUGGCGAAGGCGGCCCUCUGGACGGUGACUGACGCUGAGACGCGAAAGCGUGGGGAGCAAACAGG
rnacentral:rRNA from 1 species